AACGAACGCUGGCGGCACGUUUUAAGCAUGCAAGUCGAAUGGCAGUGGGGGCAACCCCAUGAGAAUGGCGAACGGGUGAGUAACACGUAGGUGAUCUGCCUGACGGAUGGGGAUAGCUUGUGGAAACACAGGGUAAUACCGAAUGAGCUGACGCGACUUUGGUUUUGUUAGUAAAGGUGCUACGGCACCGCCGAAAGAGGAGCCUGCGGCUGAUUAGCUAGUUGGUGGGGUAAAGGCCUACCAAGGCGACGAUCAGUAGCCGGCCUGAGAGGGUGUACGGCCACACUGGAACUGAGACACGGUCCAGACUCCUACGGGAGGCAGCAGCUAAGAAUCUUCCGCAAUGGGCGAAAGCCUGACGGAGCGAUGCCGCGUGAUCGAUGAAGGUCGAGAGAUUGUAAAGAUCUUUUCUACAUGAGGAAUAAGUCUGGGAGGGAAUGCCUGGAUGAUGACGUUAGUGUAGGAAUAAGCCCCGGCUAAUUACGUGCCAGCCGCCGCCGUAA
rnacentral:rRNA from 1 species